UCGUGGGUGACUGCGAGUCUGAAGGAAGCCGAAGGCAAAAUGCUGGCCUGACGAUGACUGGGCGUCCCCCAGUAAGCGGAUAGAGGCGGCGUAGCGGGGUAAGGUGGCAAUGAUCACUAACGCCCAACAUUUGCACGGAAUGCUACGACGUAAAUCCGACAGGCAUAAGCAGGAAGGUCGCGCC
rnacentral:ncRNA from 1 species